UGUAAAGGAAUCCCCCUAAAACUUACUUAAUACCAUGUUCUUUCUAGGCUUAAGUACGAUCCUCCUCUUUUUUCUUUGUUUUUGGCUUUUAGUCCUUGCAAAUCUUCCUCUAUCCUGCUACCUUGGAAUUGAGGGCAUUCUUAGUGAAUUCCCUUUACAUUUUCUUUCUUUUACAGAGGAAAGUAGAGCAAUUGUGUUUCCAACCUUUGUAAAUAAUUAAGGUCCUUGAGUCCUUGUAUCAUUCUGGUUGCCCUCUGUUGUACCUUCUUGAUUUCAAUAAUAUUCUUUUCAUAUUAAUGCGAUCCGUCUUGUAGGACUGCUCUUGCUGCAUUCCAAAUGGAAACUCUCCUCCUGCCCUCUCCAUUAUAACACAAUAAUGGUUGUUGACCUGUAUUCUGACGCUGUGGAGCCACAGUUCCAUUUCCUAUUCUUCAGAUGCUGGAAUUUUCCCUACUGCUUUUUCUUUCUGUGCUAUCUUUAUUAUCCAGUGACCCAAACUUCAGGGCCAUCUUUACCUCCUUUCUAUCUGUCCUUGGUCGCCAAUAGUCACCUGCAAGAGGCAACUGCUUCCACUAAGAAACCAUGCCGGUGGAAGCUAUAAAUAGACUCAAGAAGGGUUUGGAGGCAAUAAGAGAGAGAGCCUUAGUGCACUCAUGAAGGGAAGGAGAUAAAUUGCUAAUGUUUUCUGGGUGCAAAUGAAGCAACUGGCAUGUUCAAAGAAGACCACUGCCAUGUUGGUGCCGUUGCCAGAAACAAAUACUGCCCCCAGUGGACCUAGGCUGUGAACGGCUAUGAUAUUUUCUGUGCCCCUUUCUGACAUAUCUGGGGUUUUCCAAUUCUUUCCUAGUCUCUACUGUGCUCUGUUUCUGGUUUAUGUCUUGGAUUACCAGAACAUUCUUCUUUCUCAACUCCAACACACUCUCUCUAUCAACUCCAAACUCUUCUGCAUGUGGCUGUCAAAAUAAUUCUUCAUGCCUGGCACUGGGAUCAAGGUAUUCAGUGGCUUAAUCCUCCAGUGGCUCUUCAUGUCUCUAAUCAAAAUCUUCUUCUGUUGCUAUUGAAGGCCUCCAGCUACUAGAACUGACUGUCCUAUUUGAAGGGAUCCUAUGCCAUUUCUUUACCUUCUUGUCACCCACUUACUUCUGCUAGAUUUGGUCCUCUGUCACUUAUUUCUCACUUCCUUCUCUCCAGUAAUCUAAAAUUUAUGUUUUAAGAUCUCCCCAACAUGUUCCAAAUCCCAUUUCUCCAUUUCUUUAAAUUAUGGGUUAAAGUUCAACUUUAACUAAAAAUUUUUCUUAAAUAACCUAACCCAGUCAGAAACCAUUAUACCCAGUCCUAUGCUUCUUUCAGAUAUAUUCAUGUGAUAAUGGUAAAAUGUAAGUAUUUGUUUAAAGCCAUGCCUCCACGUUCAAAUAGUUGUAUUCAUUUUAGAUGUGCACAUUCAGUCCAGAAGUAUCAAAGCAGCUGGGAUUCUGGGGCAGUUUCCAUGACUAUAGUCAGGUAAUCUGCAAAUUUCAUUUCAAAAACUAAAUUCUAGUAACUUGUAAUAACUUGGCUAGUACAUUGAUGAUUUUUUAAAGCAAAUAUGAAACUAUCAGAAAUAUAUGAAUAGCAACAAAACUUUUUAUCAUUCCUAAGAUUCCUAAGAGAUGUGUGUGGUGGAUGGUGUGUGUGUGUGUGUACAUAAUGAGAGAAGAGGUGGGGGUAUCAAAAUGAGCUAGGCAAGAUUAAGAACACACAUCUCUGAGAUCCCCUUUAUACCAUUCAGGUCGCCCUUUGAUGAACUUUUUUUUUUUUUUUUUUUUAGGGCUGUACCUAUGGCAUAUGGAAGUUUUUGGGCCAGGGGUCUAAAUGGAGCUGCAGCUACUGGCCUACACCACAGCCACAGCAGAGCUGGAUCUGAGCCACAUCUGUGACCUAUGUCACAGCUUGCAACAAUGCUGGAUCUUUAACCCACUGAGUAGGGUCAGGGAGAAAACCCACGUUCUCACAGACACUUUUUAUGGCAUCCCAAGUGGAGCUGUUUCUCCAACAACUACCACUAUAUUGUUAUUACAUGCAUUGAACUGCAUUUCGUGGCUGCCCGUUCAUGAU
rnacentral:lncRNA from 1 species